UGCGGUGGUGAGGCAUGGAAGAGCGCUCCCCGCAUUGCUUCCCUCCCCGGUAGGUUCUCCCUGGAGGAUGUAGCCAGGAAGGUGGCUGGGGCUUGCUGGGGAAGCGGGAAGGCAGCUCGGUUGGCUCUGGCACGGAGGGGGUUGACUGACAGUCUGCAGUGCAGUGGAGUUCGCUGGGCUCCCUAUAUGGCUGUGGAUUAGCUGUGUGCUCAGACAGAUUCGGGGGAAAGGAGCGGCGUGGCAGGCAGUGGAGGCAGCCCAGGCUGAGCCCAGGCAGGAGGCAGUGCAGGCACCUCCGUGGGAGCCAUGGCUGAAGGGGGCGACGGAGGGGAAGACGAAAUACAGUUCCUGCGAACUGAUGAUGAAGUGGUGCUUCAGUGUGUUGCCAACAUUCACAAAGAACAGCGAAAGUUCUGCCUGGCAGCUGAGGGACUUGGAAAUCGCCUGUGCUUUUUAGAGCCGACUUCAGAAGCUAAAUAUGUCCCUCCCGACCUUUGCAUCUGUAACUUUGUGCUGGAACAGUCUCUGUCUGUGAGAGCCCUCCAGGAAAUGCUUGCCAAUACAGGAGACAAUUCCAGUGAAGGGCCUAGAGAUCUCUCCGAAUGGGUAUGUUUUUUCUCCAUUUAUCUGAACUUCAGCUACUGCAUGAAACUCCAUUUGUACUUGUAAUGAAUUAAAUCUCUUGCUUUUUAUUGCGCUCAGUGGUUUCAUUUUAUAUUCUGGUCAUCUCAUGUAUUUUUUCUUGUAGCUGCAAAACCUCAGGAAUAGGCUUGGUCCUCAUUGGACUUCUGUUCUUUACACAAAUUAGUGUUUGAAUAAACUAAUAAAGCAUCACUGACAAUUUACAAUAUCUGGAAGGCUUGGUAUCUAUCGGACAUCCAAAUGGUCCAAAGCAUGCUUACUAAAAAGUAUAUAUUGUUGUUUUAAUGAGAAUUAUAAUCUAAAGCUCCAUAAUAAAGGACUGAUCAUUUGACAUGUAAUCUUUAGCCAAGCACAAUUUUUUGCAACUGAAAAAUAAAUAACAUUAUGGAGCUACAGAUGAGAUCUGUAAUAAAACUGUGUCCUCCUUUCCUAGCAGGAGUGCACCUGUUUAGAUUGCCUACAAGCCAGCCAUACCCUCCUCUACCAUAACUGCAAAAAGGACCUUGAGUUGAGCAUUGCAGACCGUCUGCAGUUCUCCAUCAGCAACAUUCCAUAGCUACUGAGCAUGUUGAAUGUUUUGCUCCCUUAAUUUGUUUUCCAAACCUUGGGGUUUCUUAAGCAUUUGCACAUAUCUCUUUAUUUCUCAGUGGCUGGCCUUGGUUUUUCUUUUAUCAAUAAUCACUAAAAGUUUGUUAUGAGAGGUUAUAUGCAUUACAUUGAAAUAGAAUGGGAAUUUGUAUUUUGUGUUAUUUAAACCUCAACUUUAAUUAAAGCAAAAUGUCUUUUAGCCCAGUACUGUGAAAAUAGCCAUGAAUACGUGAAAUUGCACAGGCUAGGUGAGGUAGUGACAGAAGUAAACAUCUUUGGUGGGGAGAUGCGAAAUCAGACAGUGCUCCCAGGCCUUGCCUUAUUGAAACAAGUAGGAUAAGAUGAUAUAUUGCUAACAUUGUCUCUUCUACACAACUAAUAAAGGUACAGAAGCCCUACCUUCCAGCUUUGAACAUUCUAAGUAGUAGUUGAAUGGGGGCCUUGAGUGUCCUACAUAGAUUUUUGCUUUUCACACCUGACUAAAUGAAGAAUAUAGCUUGUAAAAAUGAGCACAAUUCAGUUUUCUUUGUCCUAAAUGAAAAGAUGACAAUGAUAAUGCUGCUGACAGUGCAUAAGAUGAUGACAACAAAAAUGAUGAUUACUUUUUUACUGUUAUUUUACUGGUGUCGAUUACAUUAAUUUUACAAUGUAGGUAUAUUCUAAGUCUUUAUUAUUAUUAUUAUAAGUCUACUUCCUGAAAUUCAGUUUCAGUUGUCCCAUGGAAAGGCUUACAGAACUCUUAUUCAGAAUUAAUGUUAUGUUAUGUUAAACAAGACCAACACAAAGGAGUCUAUGAUGUAUUUUCAAAAGGAGAAAACUUCAGAAUUAAAAAGUAACUUUUGUAAGAUCCAUAAGAUUGUAUUUAUGAAAGCAGAUUGCAUAUUGUGUAAGAAGAGCUUAUUUUACCAUGUUUUACUGAAGUGAGGUUUGGUCCUUGCUGAUUUGUAUAAAAAAUUUACAGCACUAUUGUAUGGUUCUGCUGAGUUUUGUUCUCAUAAAUCCUACAUUUGGUUGAAAAAAACCCUGCCAUUUACUACCAUAGUGAGCUUCAAGUUUUUGUGCAAUACUAAAAUAUCACAGUGUUGAUUUUAUUUUCCCAAUCCACAAGGCAAUUAGUGAUUAUUUAAAAACUGAAGCCUCUAAGGAUUCAGAUGUCAGUAUGAGUGGGAUUCAGUGUCCUAACAGAAAUAAUAGUGCAGGCUCAGUUGAGUUUGCAACUGAUAAUUUUUUAAAAAAAUCAAUUUGGGGUUUUUUUUGGGGGGGUUCAUUGUUAUCUCGAGCUCUGUAAAACAUACACAUGCCAGGGGGAGAUAAAAAAACAACAACAACAACAACUACAACAAGAACAAUAUAUUUCUUACCUGGUUCUCCUUGCAGCUCACAGCAGGAUGCAACAUGGUUAAAACUGACAGAUAAAACAUAACACAAACACAAAAGGUUUACCAGAGGCGGGCUAGUUACUUAUAGUUUGUUAUUCAAUCUCUUUCCUUAUCAAAUCUAACUAGACUUAAGCAACACAAUGUUUAAACAAUGAUUUAAAUGGAAUAAUGGUUUUUUGGUUUAUUUCUAAUGUGUACUUGUUUCUGAAUAAGAAAGCAACUUCCACUAUUUCUUCAAGCAAUCCCAACCAUCCAGUUAUGCAUUUCACCAUCACUUUGCCAAGCCUCCCUAGUAUUUCUCUGUUUUCUUCAUGCACUAGACCUUGCUCCAAACACGAUGGAUGAAACUCCUUUUUUUAAUUUUUAACCUCUCCUGCAAGCCUGAGCCCAUACUAAUCAUUAGCCCUUCUUACAAAUAUUGGCCUCUCAUUAGUACUUUUUCUUGGUAAUUUGUCCCUUUCCUCUUUUUAUGUACAACUCAUAAAUUUCUUCUAUUGUCAUUCUCAUCUUUCUUAGAUGCCUCCCACUUUGCAUUCUCUUUGGAAUUGCUUGUAAUUUUUACUUCAGUAUCUCACUUUUAAGGAACUCCUUGUCUUUCAGCAUUUUGGAACAUCUGCAUUUCCUUGCGUUUAUUAAAAUUUCCUUUCUUAAAUUUCAUAGUGUAUGUUCAGUGAAUACUCAGUUUUGCCUAUGCUUUUCCUGCAUGAUGGGUUUGCACUGAAUGGCUCAUGUAGUCUCUUCCAACUCUAUUGUUCUAUGAUUUUAUAAUGAAUCUUGAGAAAUUAUGAUCACUUCCACUUAUAAUACCCACUUUUAGUUCAUUGCCAUCAAGUUAACUUUCAGCAACACUGUGAAUGAGAGACCUCCAAAUCAAUUUUUUAUCAAAAGCCAAUGGAGUUGUUCAACAAAGGAGUUGUGCGAUCCCUGUAUUCAAUGCCAGUGAGCAAUUUGCCUGCAAUGCUUUGUACCAGCUGUUCAAAAAUAGCUCCAUGGAGAACAAUGGAGAUAAAACUAUAGCAUGUGUCACUGUGAUCAGACCUGAUACCUCAAGGAAUGGGCACAGCUGCACACAAACCUUAAGUGUGAAAAUGUAUUCCUGACCACUGCCAAAUCCUGAGCUUCCUAGCUCAUGGUUAAAUCCAGGUGUACACCCAAAUCUCCAUUUUCAUUGUGUGUAAAUGCAAGCUGCAUAGGCUGAAUUACUUAUUCCCUGAUCUAUCUUUAAUCACAAGGAGUGCCUCCAUCUGUACCUGGUCAAUAUUCUUGUUGCUUUUUUCACUUUUUGAAAAAUGAAACAAUCAGCAAGCCAAACAAUAAUUUGUUGGAUGUUGCAGUUUUAAUGAAUGUGACUUUAGGUAGUUGAAGUUGCCAGUUACUGUUACAUUUUUUCCUUUUGAAAAUGCUUGGUUAGAUGAUACAGGAAAGCAUCAUGAAAUUCUUCAGUCUGCCUUGGAGGUCUGUAGUAGUCCCUUCCCCACAUACAGCUAUGGCACUGCUUGUUUUUCUUUUCAAUAAUUUUACCGAAAUGCUCCGCAACUGCCUUGUAUGCCCCAUGGCAUAGAUCUUGCUAGUGUACAUAUGCUUUAUAUAUAAUACUACUAUGUCUUAUUUCCAGUUUGUUUGGUUCUUUUGGAAUCUAUUGUACUCACUCCCCAGUUACUACAUUCCAGGGAUGAGUCUCAUCUCUAUAGUCUCCUUAAUACCCAUUGAAGUGUAUUCACUCUUUGUUUCCCAUUCAUGUGCAUUAACAGAGCAGACUAACUAUUCAUAGGUUGUCAUUCUAUAUGAAAAAGUCCCUGUUGGGAAAUAAAAGUUAUGACGGGUUUUUUUUGCCUCUAUGCUAUAGCAAAAAAGACUGGAGUCUUUGUAUCUUUAAACUGUUUAGCAUAAAAAGGAGCCAUAUGCUCUAGUGCAAUUUUCACAGUAAAGUGAAAUAAAUGUUAAAUUAAUUUAAGUUUGCAAAAACUUUUGUAAUCUCACUCAUUAGUGAGAUGGCUCUUGAAGUAUUUUAUUCUUUCUUGCAAUAGUGUAAGUAGCAAAGAUGUAUAUUUCUAGACCUCCAUUACUGUCUCUUACUGAGAAACUUGGAAGUGAAUGAGGAGUCAAAAUGCAUGACCAUGUGUCUACUAUUCGCCUGUGAAGCUAUGGACUCUAAGGACUGAUUUCAGCAAGAAGUGAAAAGGACUAGCCAAGUAGAACAGCCACAAUUUUGCACUAUUAUGCUUUGAAAAUCUUUCGUUUAAAGACAAUGGGAGAGUUUGUUUGUGCAUACAGUGACACUUCAGAAUGCUAACUUUUUUGCAUUAGAAGGAAAAUGAGUCAAACUCAUACCAUAGUUAUAUUGCACCAGCAGCAGAGUAUAGUUGAGAAGACUAUGGGAGGAAUCCAGCUAGGAAGAGGCAUGAGUUCAGCACGGGCUAAUGUCCCAGAUCCUUCCAUACCGCAAUGCUAGAUUUAUUGCACAUGGCCAUAGUUGUUACAUACUGGUGGAAGGAUCCACUGCAUAUGCUCAUGGCUACGUUCUUUAUUACUGCUACAUAAAUUACAUGACUGAUUCUUGGCACUGAAAACAAACUUGGACAUUCGGCCUUACUAGCUACAUUUAGACAGCAAGAUAAGGUGUGUUUUGUUGUUGACAAGCAAAUUUCAGCAUACAUAUUUUCAUAACUAAAAAGUAGACUAACAUUUUGCUUCCUUUUUUAUUUAACUGCAGUUUAGUACAUCUGAACUCUGAAGUGUUCUGGAACUUAAGUGUGGUUUAUUGAAACAAAGUUGCCUAGCACAUAUUUGGAAAUGCGGCAGUUUGCUUCCCUCUCCUCCCAAAGAAUACAAAUCAGCCCCAAAUGCUGCAAAACGGUGACCAGAAGUGAUAUUACUUCAAGUGUGCUAAAACAAGCUGUCCUAGCCCACUGGGCAGGAGUGGGAGGGAACAUGAUCUGCCUCCAUGCAGGUGUACAACUCUGCCAUUACAUUUAUAACUAUUGCUCCUUUAUGUUUUUAACAAAAUAUAAGUGUAUCUAAAUUGCCUUGCAUCAAAAGUCAUGUGUGAUUGGUGAUUGUUCCACUCAUUCACAAAAAUCAGGGUCAUUAACAAAAUCUAUUCUUACAAAAUGUAUUGUUAAACAGAUAUUUCUGCUUCCUUUCCUAAAUGCCAGGUCAAACAAUGGUCUGCAUGUGACCUUCCUUCUUUCUAUAUAGAUUUUGUGCUGAACAGCGGGGGAUAUAGCUGAGAUGCAGGUAUAAAAAGAGGGCAUAAGGCUUUCUAAUUGAGCCAUGUCAUGGUUCUGAGUCAUUGGAUAAAGAGAAAGUGUGGAAAGAAUAUGAGUUGUGCUGAAGGGCAAAGCAACAACAAGACGAAUAGUCUUUCUGCUGAAAAUGGAACCAGUUUCUGCCAUUUUUUCAGCUAUUCUGUGGUAGAUUUCUCCGUGUGCCAGAAUUAAUGUCACUUUAGGUAGGAAGGGUUGCAUUGUGGAAAGGGCAUGGAAGAAAAUGAUACAACAUUCUGUCCUAGAACACUGCUUUUUGGCUCUUCAAAACAUUCCCAUGUGACUAAUUAACAAAAUAAAUACUGUAGGAGGAUCUCUGAAUUUCUUGUACAGAGUGUAUCCAGCUAACAAUUUUUCACUGAUGGAGACCUGACUGAUGAAAAAACACAUCAGCUCCCUAUUUAAAGUUUUCUGCUUUCCUCAUCUUAUAGCAGACUUAAUGCCAUGCACUGAAGUGAGAUAUAUCCUGGGGAGAGCAGUAUACAAUUGCUGUUAGGUUGGCAACCCAGGUUAGUAUGAUUUACCUUGCUACCUGCCGUGUAAAUGCACUCAGAGGAACAAAACAUAAAAUCUCCCCAUGGUGGAAUGCAAGAUGUAGCUUUUAGCUCACUAAGUGGCUUUACAAGAACUACAGAAUAGCACAAAUCUAGCUUCUACAUUUAGAUAGAUUAAUAAGUACUUGUAAGGGGUGUAAUCACUGUGUGGGGUGUUGGUUUAUUUUUCACUUGGUCAUCAAAUGCCUGUGGUUGACAUCUCAAUGAAUUGUGGCAAUUUCUUUGUCCUUGAAUAUCUAGUUCGAUUUAGAAUCUCAACAAGGAAAUGUAAUGACAUAAAAGUGUUGUUAAUGUUUGUGGAGAUAAUAUCAACUUCCUGACUUUCAUUUAGCCUUAGCUGUGACUUCUUAUUGAUCCCUUUUGUUAAAAGGCCAUCAGCUAGAGUUCUCUGCCCCUAUGAUUACUACGUAUCUUCUGGGAGUUUUCUGUUUUCAUUAUAUUUUGCCUAGAACCAAGUUUCCAAAUCAAAACAUGCAAUGGAAGAAGGGAAAUGGAGAUAGAGGGAAAGGUUUGUUUGGUACAUAUUAUCAAACCAUAGUUUGACAAUACAAUUACAAAUCUCAUAAACCUUUAUAUUUUUCUUUUUUAUUAAGUUUUUCUGGUUGUUAUUGUGUGUCAUGAAAUCAUUUCUGAAUUACGGUGACCCUAAAGCAAACCUACUGACGAUUUUUUUGUCAUGUUUUGUCCAGAGAGGCUUUAGCUUUGCCCUUUUCUAAGAAAGAGAAAUGUGACAUGCCAAAGUCAGCCAGUAUGUUUCCAUGGUUGAGUGGGGAUUCGAAUCCUGAUCUCCAUCACUCAAAACCAUGCUGUCUAUCAGUGCUUCUGGGCAUACUCAUUUUUUAAAAAGUUUUUGUCUCUAUAAACUAGCAUUGUAGCAUUAAAGAAAAUGGCUUUUAUAAAGAGGUGUAAGCUCACUUAAAGUAUCAGCUUGGGGUUUUUUUUGUGAAUUGAGCAUGUAAUUUGAACAUUUGUGUGGACAUCUGUGCAUGAAGCUGUUUGUAUGCCAGUGGGUUGUGUCCUUAGAUGAAUACUUAAAGUCUUUUCAAGGAUAGAUUGAGGGAAAAACUUGUUUGUGACUAUAUGUCUAAUGAGUAAUGAGCUCAUAAGAUGAAAUAUGUGACUCCUCUUAAUGUAUUGGCAAGAUUCCAAAGAUUUUUUUAUUAGAUAAUACUAUAGUCCAGGAUAUAGAAUGAAAAUAAGGUGUGAAAUAAUAUUUUUUUGAUAAAAAAUAUACAUUUGUCAGUAAAAAAAACACAUAAAGCAGUAAAAGGGGUAUGCAGAAUUCUGUUUAGCAAUUGGGGAAAAUUCAGCGAUCCAGCAGAUAGAUUGAACAGAACCCAGCUGAAGCUUUAAAUAAUAAUGCAGGAAAGAAAGAAAGGCAAGAAAGGCUUCCCUAGUCCUUUCCUCCAGUGAUAGCCCCAUUGGGAACUCUCUUUCUCAGCAGCACUUUGCGUGUUGCGGGCAUUGAAGGAGCCUCUGCGCUCUCUCCCACGGCAUGACUGUGUCCAUUCUCCUCCCCUCUUUUGGCUUAAGCUGGUUGGGACUUCAAUUCCCAGAACCCCCUCCUGUUUUUUUUUUAAUUAUAUGGUAAAAACUAAAAUUUUCCCCAAAAUUUGGUGAAACAUUCUGAAACCUGGCAGGCUUGCAGUCAUAAAUGUGGCCUACAAGUGAGACAAGUUUCAUCCUGAUAGUCCUAAAAUUAAUGAAGAAACAAACCUCUAAAAUUUCCCCAUUGGUGUCAAUGGACCUAAUUUUGGAUAUUUCCCAGAAAACGAAAUAGGGGAUGGAGAAGACAGAAACGGACCUGAAAACAGUAUGGUUUUUGGCCAUUUUGCGCAUCCCUAGUAAUAACAACUUUCAGUAUUUUGUUGACCAUAUACUUCCAUCAGUGCUAGUUAGUUAAGGUCAACAGUGUAGUUUUGUUAGGUUUUUUUAAAUGAUCUUUUAGGAAGUGAACUCAUAUCUCCAUAUAGGUAGCAAUAACACUGUUAAAAUAAAAUUAUCCUGAUUAAAAGACAUUUAAUGAAUCUGAAUCCCAUGAGCAGCAUGUUCAUCAUUUAUAAUGCUUGUUCAGAAGCCCAUUCUUAUAAUGUAUGUUUUGUUUUGUUUUUUAAUGCUUCUGGAAAGUUUAUAAGAAAGGCUGCUCAAGGUGGUGGUCAUAGGACACUACUGUAUGGCCAUGCUAUCCUGCUUCAUCAUUCAUUCAGUGGAAUGUAUUUGACUUGUUUGACUACAUCAAGAUCUCAGACGGAUAAACUUGCAUUUGAUGUUGGACUACAAGAGAAUGCAGCAGGUGAAGCAUGCUGGUGGACUAUACAUCCUGCUUCUAAACAAAGGUCUGAAGGAGAAAAAGUGCGGAUUGGAGAUGAUCUUAUCCUGGUUAGUGUGUCUUCUGAAAGAUACCUGCAUCUGUCUGUAGCAUAUGGAAACAUACAAGUGGAUGCCUCCUUUAUGCAAACUUUGUGGAACGUGCAUCCCACUUGUUCAGGAAGUAGCAUUGAAGAAGGAUACCUACUCGGAGGGCAUGUAUUACGUUUAUUUCAUGGCCACGAUGAGUGUUUGACAAUCCCAUCAACAGAACAGAAUGAUUCACCACAUAAAAGGCUAUUUUAUGAAUCAGGAGGAGCUGGUGUCCGGGCAAGGUCUCUGUGGAGAGUAGAACCACUUAGAAUAAGCUGGAGUGGAAGUAACAUACGUUGGGCACAGCCCUUUCGUCUUCGACACAUUACAACAGGACAGUUUUUGGCCUUGACUGAAGACCUGGGUUUAGUCUUAUUAGACAGAGAAAAGGCUGACACAAAAACAACAUCAUUUUGUUUUAGAGCAUCAAAGGAAAAACUGGAGUCCAUUCACAAGCGCGAUAUUGAGGGCAUGGGAGUUCCUGAAAUAAAGUAUGGUGAUUCUGUUUGUUUCGUGCAGCAUGUAGCCAGUAGUUUGUGGCUGACGUACAAAGCUCAGGAUGCUAAAACAACACGUUUAGGACCAGUGAAAAGAAAGGUUAUAUUACAUCAAGAAGGCCACAUGGAUGAUGGUCUCACAUUGCAAAGGUGUCAACAUGAGGAGUCCCAGGCUGCUAGAAUAAUUCUAAAUACAACAAGAUUAUUUAGUCAAUUUAUAAGUGGAAACAAUAGAACUUCAUCUCCCAUCACCUUACCCAUUGGAGAAGUACUUCAGACUCUGCAAGAUCUGAUUACAUAUUUUCUUCCUCCAGAGGAGGAGCUAGAACACGAGGAUAAACAAAAUAAACUUCGUUCACUCAAGAACAGACAAAAUCUAUUUAAAGAAGAGGGGAUGUUGGCACUGGUUUUGAACUGCAUUGAUAGAUUAAAUGUCUAUUAUAGCACCGCUCACUUUACUGGAGUUGGUAGAGAAGAAAAUAGUACAGCAUGGAAAGAAAUUCUGAAUCUUCUUUACAAGCUAUUGGCUGCUCUCAUCCGUGGUAAUAGAAACAAUUGUGCUCAAUUUUCCAAUAAUCUUGAUUGGCUGAUUAGUAAAUUGGACCGACUAGAAUCUUCUUCAGGUAUUUUGGAAGUGUUACAUUGCAUCUUAAUUGAAAGUCCAGAAGCUUUAAAUUUGAUAGAAGAAGGACAUAUCAAAUCUAUAAUCUCAUUGCUGGAUAAACAUGGGCGCAAUCAUAAGGUCCUUGAUGUACUGUGCUCCCUCUGUCUCUGUAAUGGAGUAGCAGUGCGUGCUAAUCAGAACUUAAUCUGUGACAAUCUUCUUCCACGAAGAGAUUUACUCUUGCAAACACGACUGGUGAAUGAUGUGACAAGUAUGAGACCAAAUAUAUUCCUGGGAAUUGCUGAAGGCUCAGCACAGUAUAAGAAAUGGUAUUUUGAACUAAUUAUUGAUCAAGUGGACCCCUUUUUAACAGCAGAGCCUACACAUCUACGGGUUGGCUGGGCCUCAACAUCGGGCUAUGCUCCUUAUCCUGGAGGUGGAGAAGGUUGGGGAGGCAAUGGAGUCGGUGAUGACCUAUACUCAUAUGGUUUUGAUGGACUUCAUCUAUGGUCUGGUCGAAUACCCAGAGCUGUUGCAUCUGUGAAUCAACAUUUGAUAGCUUCGGAAGAUGUAGUCAGCUGUUGCUUGGAUUUAGGUGCACCGAGCAUUUCGUUCCGUAUUAAUGGACAGCCUGUGCAAGGAAUGUUUGAGAAUUUUAACAUUGAUGGACUUUUUUUCCCAGUAGUAAGCUUUUCUGCAGGUGUCAAAGUGCGUUUCUUAAUGGGUGGACGUCAUGGAGAGUUCAAGUUUCUACCUCCUACUGGCUAUGUGCCUUGCUAUGAAGCUUUGCUUCCAAAAGAGAAGAUGAAAUUGGAGCCAGUGAAAGAAUAUAAGAGAGAUUCCAAUGGAAUUAGAGAUUUGCUUGGCACAACACAAUUUGUCUCCCAAGCUAAUUUUAUCCCUUGUCCAAUUAGCACCAGCCAGAUUGUAUUGCCUCUUCAUCUUGAGAAGAUUAGAGAUAAGCUUGCUGAAAAUAUUCAUGAACUUUGGGGAAUGAAUAAAAUAGAACUUGGCUGGACUUAUGGCAAGAUACGAGAUGAUAACAAAAGGCAGCACCCUUGUCUGGUGGAAUUUUCAAAAUUACCUGAAACAGAGAAGAAUUAUAACUUGCAAAUGUCAACAGAAACUCUGAAAACUCUUUUGGCUCUUGGAUGCCAUAUUGUACAUACAAAUCCAGGAGCAGAGGAAGACCUUAAAAAAAUAAAACUUCCAAAAAAUUAUAUGAUGUCAAAUGGCUAUAAGCCAGCCCCUCUAGACCUCUCUGAAGUAAAAUUGUUGCCUCCCCAAGAAGCAUUGGUUGAUAAACUUGCAGAGAAUGCACAUAACGUCUGGGCAAAAGACAGAAUAAAACAAGGAUGGACAUAUGGCAUUCAACAGGAUCUCAAAAACAAAAGAAAUCCACGAUUGGUGCCAUAUACAUUAUUAGAUGAACGUACUAAGAAGUCAAACAGAGAUAGCCUACGUGAAGCUGUUCGCACCUUUGCUGGUUAUGGAUAUAACAUUGAACCACCAGAUCAAGAAUUAGCUGACCAAACUGUGGAAAAAAUAAGCAUAGAUAAGAUACGUUUCUUCAGAGUGGAGAAGUCUUACGCAGUGAAGACUGGAAAAUGGUAUUUUGAAUUUGAAGCGGUUACAGGAGGAGACAUGCGUGUUGGAUGGGCAAGGCCAGGUUGUCGGCCUGACCUUGAACUAGGAGCUGAUGACCAAGCAUUUGUGUUUGAAGGCAGCAAAGGUCAGCGUUGGCACGAAGGGAGUAGCUUCUUUGGACGAAAUUGGCAACCAGGAGAUGUAGUGGGAUGCAUGAUCAAUCUAGAUGACAAAUCAAUAAUAUUUACACUGAAUGGAGAAUUGCUUAUUACCAACAAAGGUUCAGAACUUGCUUUUGCAGACUUUGAGAUAAAUAAUGGUUUGGUGCCUAUAUGCUCACUGGGUCUGUCUCAGAUUGGCCGUAUGAAUUUUGGAAGGGACGCCAGCACCUUCAAAUAUUAUACCAUGUGUGGUCUUCAAGAAGGCUUUGAACCUUUUGCUGUUAACAUGAACAGAGAUGUUGCUAUGUGGUUUAGCAAACGUUUGCCAACGUUUGUCAAUGUGCCUAAAAACCACUCUCAUAUUGCGGUGACAAGAAUAGAUGGGAACAUUGACAGCCCACCACGCUUAAAAGUAACCCAUAAAACAUUUGGAACACAGAAUAGCAAUGCAGAUAUGAUAUACUGUCGCCUGAGCAUGCCAAUUGAAUUUCACUCAUCUUUUAACUACAUCACUAGUUUGGAACUUGUUGAUGGUUUCCAAAAAAGAAAACAAAUUCAGGAGUUUCCUUUUCAUGCCAUAACGUAUUAUUAUUCAGUGCGAAUCUUUGCUGGACAAGACCCAUCUUCAGUUUGGAUUGGUUGGGUGACUCCUGACUACCACUUUUACAGUGAACAUUUUAACCUAAAUAAGAAUUGCACAGUAACAGUUACUUUGGGAGAUGAAAGAGGCAGAGUUCAUGAAAGUGUAAAACGCAACAAUUGCUACUUGGUCUGGGGAGGAGAAGCUGCUGUUAACUCACAAAGAUCAGGUCGUGGUAAUGUUGAUUUAGAAAUUGGAUGCCUUGUUGAAUUGGCUUCUGGAAUGCUGUCAUUUACAGCCAAUGGAAAAGAGCUGGGAACUUUCUACCAGGUUGAACCAAACACAAAACUAUUUCCAGCAGUUUUUUUACAGCCUACAAGCACAAACCUGUUUCAGUUUGAACUGGGUAAAUUAAAGAACACAAUGCCUUUAUCAGCAGCAAUAUUUAAAAGUGAAGAGCGAAACCCUAUUCCCCAGUGCCCUCCACGACUGGAUGUUCAAACAAUCACACCUGUUGUGUGGAGCAGAAUGCCAAACUAUUUCUUAAAAGUAGACGCUGACCGAGUCAGUGACCGACAUGGGUGGUUGGUGCAGUGCCUGGAACCUUUGCAGAUGAUGGCCCUUCAUAUUCCAGAAGAAAGCAGGUGUAUUGAUAUUUUGGAGCUAUGCGAACAAGAAGAUCUGAUGAGGUUCCAUUUCCAUACGUUAAAACUGUAUAGUUCAGUUUGUGCACUGGGAAACAACAGAGUAGCUUAUGCACUUUGCAGCCAUGUGGAUAUUUCCCAGUUAUUUUAUACAAUAGAUAAUCAAUAUUUACCUGGGUUAUUGCGUUCUGGAUUUUAUGACUUGCUGAUCAGCAUUCAUUUAGAAUACUCCAAAGAGGCUAAGCUGAUGAUGAACAAUGAAUUUAUAAUUCCAAUUACAGAUGAAACUAGAAAAAUCAAAUUAUUUCCAGAUGAAUCAAAGAGACAUGGUUUGCCAGGAGUUGGGCUUAGCACCUGCCUGAAACCAGAUUUUAAGUUUUCUACCCCUUGCUUCAUUUUGUCUCAAGAGGAUCAUCAGAAGCCCAGUCCAGAAAUACCACUUGAUAUGCUUAAAUCCAGGGCUAUAAGCAUGCUUACAGAAGCAGUUUAUUGUAGUGGAGCUCACAUACGAGAUCCUGUUGGAGGGAAAGUUGAAUUCCAGUUUGUUCCUGUACUUAAACUUAUAGGAACUUUGCUCAUAAUGGGAGUCUUUGAUGAUCAUGAUGUGAAACAGAUUUUACUUCUCAUCGAUCCAUAUGUUUUUGGUGAACCAAAAGAAGAAACACUAGAGAAAACAGAGAAGGAGGAUGUUACACAAAUUGAAGAAAAAGCAGUAGAGGCGGGAGAAAAGGCAAUCAAGGAAACAAAAACGCCAAUUAAAGGCUUGCUGCAAACAAGAUUGACUGAAUCUGUUAAACUCCAGAUGUGUGAGCUGCUAAAUUAUUUCUGCGACUGUGAGCUGAAACACAGAGUGGAAGCCAUUGUAUCUUUCGCAGACACAUAUGUCUCAAAGUUGCAGUAUAAUCAGAAAUACAGAUAUAAUGAACUUAUGCAAGCUUUGAAUAUGUCUGCUGCUUUGACUGCCAGGAAGACCAAGGAAUUUCGCUCCCCUCCUCAAGAGCAGAUUAAUAUGUUACUAAAUUUUCAACUGGGGGAAGAUUGUCCUUGUCCAGAUGAGAUUCGGGAAGAGCUUUAUGAGUUUCAUGAUGAUCUCCUGAUGCAUUGUGGUAUUCCUUUAGAGGAAGAAGAGGUGGAAGAUAAAGAUAUAUCAUGGGCUGGGAAACUACGUUCAUUGAUAUAUAAAAUAAAAGGUGCACCAAAAACUGAAGUGAGAGAAACUACAGAAGAAGAAGAAAAAUAUCCCACUACAUUGAAGAAGUUGAUAUCUCGGACGAUGGUUUCCUGGGCUCAGGAAGACCAGAUCCAAGACCCAGAAUUAGUUCGUAUUAUGUUUAAUCUCCUUCGACGACAAUAUGACAGCAUUGGUGAACUGCUGCUGGCUCUGAGGAAGUCCUAUACUAUCAGUGCUGCCUCUGUGCAGGAUACAAUAAACUUACUAGCAGCACUGGGUCAAAUUCGCUCUCUUCUUAGUGUCAGAAUGGGAAAAGAAGAAGAAUUGCUUAUGAUUAAUGGUCUUGGAGAUAUAAUGAACAACAAAGUAUUUUACCAGCAUCCUAACUUAAUGAGGGUCCUUGGUAUGCAUGAGACAGUUAUGGAAGUAAUGGUAAAUGUGCUUGGAGGAGACAAAUCUCAGAUUGCUUUUCCAAAAAUGGUAGCAAGUUGUUGUCGGUUUCUGUGCUAUUUCUGUCGAAUCAGUCGCCAGAAUCAAAAAGCCAUGUUUGAACACCUCAGCUACUUACUUGAAAAUAGCAGUGUGGGACUUGCUUCUCCUUCCAUGAGGGGUUCUACUCCACUAGAUGUAGCAGCUGCUUCUGUAAUGGAUAAUAAUGAGCUUGCACUUGCAUUGGAGGAGCCAGACUUAGAAAAGGUUGUAACCUACUUGGCAGGUUGUGGACUUCAGAGUUGCCCAAUGUUGCUAGCUGCAGGAUACCCUGAUACAGGCUGGAAUCCAAUAGAGGGUGAACGAUAUCUAUCCUUUUUAAGGUUUGCAGUUUUUGUUAAUGGUGAAAGUGUUGAGGAAAAUGCCAGUGUUGUUGUCAAGCUUCUUAUUCGACGCCCAGAAUGUUUUGGUCCUGCUCUUAGAGGAGAAGGAGGAAAUGGUUUGUUGGCUGCUAUGCAAGGAGCAAUUAAGAUCUCUGAGAACCCAGCUCUUGAUCUCCCCUCUCAAGGAUACAAGAGAGAUUUCAGUCUUGAUGAAGAUGAAGAAGAGGAAGGAGUAGUGCACAUGGGCAAUGCAAUUAUGUCCUUUUACUCUGCUCUUAUAGAUUUACUUGGACGUUGUGCACCAGAAAUGCAUCUUAUCCAAACUGGAAAAGGAGAAGCUAUUCGAAUCCGGUCCAUCUUGCGUUCCCUGGUACCAACCGAAGAUUUGGUUGGAAUAAUAAGCAUACCAUUAAAAUUACCAACAGUCAACAAGGAUGGAACUGUUAGUGAGCCAGACAUGUCUGCAGGUUUCUGCCCUGACCAUAAGGCACCCAUGGUCCUCUUUCUAGAUCGUGUCUAUGGUAUAAAGGAUCAAAGUUUUCUUCUCCAUCUCCUUGAAGUUGGAUUUUUACCAGAUUUAAGAGCUUGUGCAUCAUUAGAUACAGUUUCUUUGAGUACUACAGAGACAGCUCUUGCUCUAAAUAGAUAUAUUUGCACAGCUGUGUUUCCAUUACUCACACGAUGUGCUUCUCUCUUUUCGGGAACUGAGCAUUAUGUCUCACUGAUUGAUUCCACACUUCAUACAAUAUAUCGCCUAUCCAAAGGACGCUCUCUAACAAAAGCACAAAGGGACACUAUUGAAGAAUGCUUGCUUGCUAUCUGUCACUAUUUACGUCCUUCCAUGCUACAGCAGCUUUUGCGACGACUAGUCUUUGAUGUACCUUUACUUAAUGAAUAUUGUAAAAUGCCUCUUAAGCUUUUAACAAAUCACUAUGAGCAAUGCUGGAAAUAUUACUGUUUGCCUUCAGGAUGGGGAAAUUAUGGAAUUGCAGCUGAAGAAGAGCUACAUUUAACUGAAAAACUUUUCUGGGGAAUAUUUGAUUCUCUUUCUUCUAAGUUCCUAUCUCUCCUGCAGAAGUAUGAUCCAGAUCUCUUCCGUAUGGCCUUGCCUUGUUUAAGUGCAAUAGCUGGGGCUUUGCCACCAGAUUAUUUAGACAUCCAAAUUGCCUCAAUUUUAGAAAAGCAAACUUCAGUGGAUGCUGAAGGAAACUUUGAUCCCAAACCUGUUAACACAGUGAAUUUUAUACUUCCUGAGAAGUUGGAAUAUAUUGUCAACAAGUAUGCUGAACAUUCACAUGAUAAAUGGGCCUGUGACAAGAGUAAUAGUGGAUGGAAGUAUGCUGCUUCAGUUGAUGAAAAUAUGAAGAUGCAUCCUUUAAUAAGACCCUUUAAAACAUUGACUGACAAGGAAAAGGAAAUCUACCGAUGGCCUGCCAGAGAAUCACUUAAAACCAUGUUAGCAAUGGGAUGGAGUCUAGAAAGGACCAAAGAAGGCGAAUCGACAGUCCAGCAGCGUGAAAAUGAGAAGCUCCGCAGUGUAUCACAGUCCAGCCAAGGAAAUGGAUACAACCCAGCACCACUUGAUCUUUCAAACGUUGUACUCUCUAGAGAACUUCAGGGAAUGGUGGAAAUAGUGGCAGAAAACUAUCAUAACAUUUGGGCUAAAAAGAAGAAAAUUGAAUUAGAAAGUAAAGGUGGUGGUAGUCAUCCUUUAUUGGUCCCAUAUGACACUUUAACAGCCAAAGAAAAGGCUCGAGAUAGGGAGAAAGCACAAGAACUUUUCAGAUUUCUUCUAGUGAAUGGUGUUGCUAUAACAAGGGGCUUAAAUGACAUGGCAUUGGAUGCUUCAUCCAUGGAGAAGCGAUUUGCUUAUAAAUUUCUGAAGAAGAUUCUCAAAUAUGUUGAUUCUGCUCAAGACUUCAUUGCACAUUUAGAAGCCAUUGUCACCAGUGGAAAAACAGAAAAAUCCCCACAUGACCAAGAAAUCAAAUUUUUUGCCAAAGUUCUGCUGCCAUUAGUUGAUCAGUAUUUUACCAAUCAUUGCCUGUACUUUCUCUCUUCCCCCACCAAACCUCUCAGCAGUAGUGGGUAUGCUUCAAAUAAAGAAAAGGAAAUGGUAGCAAGCCUUUUCUGCAAACUUGCUGCUCUUGUUAGACAUAGAAUUUCACUUUUUGGUAAUGAUGCUACUACAAUGGUGAGCUGCCUACAUAUUUUGGCUCAGUCAUUAGAUACAAGAACCGUCAUGAAAUCUGGCUCAGAACUGGUUAAAGCUGGGUUAUGUGCCUUCUUUGAAAAUGCAGCUGAAGAUCUUGAGAAGACAUCAGAAAAUCUUAAACUUGGAAAAUUUACCCAUUCCCGAACACAAAUUAAAGGAGUUUCUCAGAAUAUCAACUACACAACAGUCGCACUCUUGCCUAUUUUGACAUCUAUUUUUGAACAUGUUGCACAGCAUCAUUUUGGCACUGAUUUACUUUUAGGUGAUGUCCAAGUUUCAUGUUACAGAAUUCUUUGUAGCCUAUAUUCCCUUGGAACUGGGAAGAACAUUUAUGUCGAGAGGCAAAGGCCAGCACUUGGUGAGUGCUUGGCUUCUCUUGCAGCAGCAAUUCCAGUGGCCUUUCUUGAACCUUCACUCAACCUUUACAAUCCCCUCUCUGUCUUCAACACAAAAACUACCAGAGAGAGAGCUAUUUUAGGCAUACCUGAAACUGUAGAAGAAAUGUGUCCAGAAAUUCCUAACUUGGAUGACUUAAUGAAAGAAAUAAACAACUUGGCAGAAUCAGGAGCCAGAUAUACCGAAAUGCCUCAUGUGAUUGAAGUGACCUUGCCCAUGCUGUGCAAUUACCUAUCAUACUGGUGGGAAAGGGGACCCGAAAACAUCUGUGAAAGUGCUGGGCCCUGCUGCACAAUGGUCACCUCUGAACAUCUUAGCAUAAUACUGGGAAACAUUUUGAAAAUAAUCAACAACAACCUUGGGAUAGAUGAAGCAACCUGGAUGAAAAGAAUUGCAGUGUAUGCUCAGCCAAUCAUUAGUAAAGCCAGACCAGAUUUGUUGAAAAGUCAUUUCAUUCCAACCCUGGAAAAACUAAAGAAGAAGGCCAUAAAGAUUGUGAUGGAAGAAGAACAGUUGAAAGCAGACAGUAAAACUGAUACUCAAGAAGCAGAACUUCUCAUUCUGGAUGAAUUCGCAGUUCUUUGCCGAGACCUUUAUGCUUUUUAUCCUAUGUUGAUCCGAUAUGUAGACAACAACAGAUCAAACUGGCUUAAAAAGCCAGAUGCAGAUUCUGAUGAACUUUUCCGAAUGGUAGCUGAAGUUUUUAUCCUCUGGUGUAAAUCACAUAAUUUCAAGAGAGAAGAACAAAAUUUUGUGAUUCAGAAUGAAAUCAACAAUUUGGCAUUUUUGACAGGAGAUAACAAAAGUAAGAUGUCAAAGCAGAUUGUUCGAAGGGGAAUGGCCAUUCAAGUAAAGUCUGGUGGUCAUGAUCAAGAACGAAAGAAAUCAAAACGCAGAGGAGAUUUGUACUCAAUACAGACUUCUCUAAUUGUAGCUGCACUUAAAAAAAUGCUUCCCAUCGGAUUGAAUAUGUGUACUCCUGGAGAUCAAGAAUUAAUUUCUCUUGCUAAGUCCAGAUAUAGCUAUAAAGACACAGAAGAAGAGAUCAAAGAACAUUUACGCAAUAAUUUGCAUUUACAGGAGAAGUCAGAUGACCCAGCUGUGAAAUGGCAGUUGAAUCUAUACAAAGACAUCUUGAAAACUGAUGAACCUGCUGAUUCUGAGAAAACUGUGGAACGUGUGCAGAGGAUCUCAGCUGCUGUGUAUCAUCUGGAACAGGUUGAGCAACCAUUAAGAUCAAAGAAAGCAGUUUGGCACAAACUCUUGUCAAAGCAACGUAAAAGAGCUGUUGUUGCUUGUUUCAGGAUGGCACCAUUGUAUAAUCUACCAAGACACAAAAUUGACAAUUUCUUCCUGAGCACCUUUCAACCUGUUUGGCUGGAAACUGUACAUGAAAAAACCCAAUAUAACAGGCUCAUACUCACAUUAACGACUCUCCCACAAAAAAGUGAAGAGGAUGAGGAAGAGAUUGAAAAGCAUCCUGACCCUCUUCAUCAGAUUAUUCUUCAUUUCAGUCGGAAUGCUCUCACUGAGAGAAGCAAAUUGGAAAAUGACCCUUUGUAUACUGCAUAUUCAGCAAUGAUGGCAAAGAGCUGCCAGAGUGGAGAAGAUGAUGAUGAAGAGGAAGAGGAAAAAGAGAAAACAUUUGAGGAAAAAGAAAUGGAAAAGCAAAAAACACUGUAUCAACAAUCUCGGCUUCAUGAACGUGGAGCUGCUGAGAUGGUACUACAGAUGAUUAGUGCCAGUAAAGGUGAAAUGGGGCCAAUGGUAGUUGAAACCUUAAAACUUGGCAUUGCUGUUCUAAAUGGAGGUAACUCAGUUGUUCAACAGAAAAUGUUGGAUUAUCUGAAGGAGAAAAAAGAUGCUGGAUUUUUUCAGUCUCUGUCUGGCUUAAUGCAGUCUUGCAGUGUUCUUGACUUGAAUGCCUUUGAGAGACAAAAUAAAGCAGAAGGCCUUGGGAUGGUUACUGAAGAAGGAACACUCAUCGUACGUGAGCGUGGUGAGAAAGUACUACAGAAUGAUGAGUUUACUAAAGAUCUGUUUAGAUUUUUACAACUGCUGUGUGAAGGCCAUAACAAUGAUUUUCAGAAUUAUUUACGUACUCAGAUGGGCAAUACUACAACAGUGAAUAUUAUUAUUAGCACAGUUGACUAUCUAUUACGUCUUCAGGAAUCCAUUAGUGACUUCUAUUGGUACUACUCUGGAAAAGAUGUAAUUGAUGAUUCUGGACAACGUAACUUCUCUAAAGCAUUAGCUGUCACCAAGCAGAUUUUUAAUUCACUUACUGAAUAUAUUCAAGGUCCUUGUAUUGGAAACCAACAGAGCCUGGCUCACAGCAGAUUGUGGGAUGCAGUUGUUGGCUUUCUUCAUGUUUUUGCUAACAUGCAAAUGAAACUUUCUCAGGAUUCCAGCCAAAUUGAACUGCUGAAGGAGCUAUUGGAUCUUCUGAAGGAUAUGGUGGUGAUGCUGUUGUCACUACUUGAAGGUAAUGUCGUAAAUGGCACAAUUGGGAAACAGAUGGUGGACACUCUGGUCGAGUCAUCUAGCAAUGUAGAAAUGAUCUUGAAGUUCUUCGACAUGUUUCUCAAGCUGAAAGAUCUAACAAGUUCUGAAGCAUUCAAAGAGUAUGAUCCAGAAGGCAAAGGUGUAAUCUCAAAGAAGGAAUUCCAGAAAGCCAUGGAAGGUCAAAAGCAAUAUACACAAUCAGAGAUUGAGUUCCUGUUGUCCUGUGCAGAAACAGAUGAAAAUGACAUGUUUAAUUAUGCUGACUUUGUUGAAAGAUUUCAUGAGCCAGCCAAAGAUAUUGGAUUUAAUGUGGCAGUACUCUUAACAAACCUUUCAGAACAUAUGCCAAAUGAUUCACGGCUUCAGACUUUGUUAGAUCCAGCAGGAAGUGUUCUUAAUUAUUUUGAACCUUACCUGGGACGCAUUGAAAUCAUGGGAGGUGCCAAGAAGAUAGAGCGGGUUUAUUUUGAGAUCAGUGAAUCUAGUAGGACACAGUGGGAAAAGCCUCAAGUUAAAGAAUCGAAGCGUCAGUUUAUUUUUGAUGUUGUAAACGAAGGUGGAGAACAAGAAAAAAUGGAACUUUUUGUAAACUUUUGCGAAGACACUAUUUUUGAAAUGCAGUUGGCAUCUCAGAUCUCUGAAUCGGACACAACUGACAGACCUGAGGAGGAGGAGGAGGAUGAACAUUGCUAUGUGAGGGAAGUUGGAGAAGAUGAGAAAGAAGAGCAAUCUCUUGAAUCAGCUUCAGCUUUUGCUUUAGCAUGUGCUACAGCAAAGAAAAAUGCUACCACCAUUAUUAAAACAAUUAGACUGAAAAAUCUAAGAAAACAGUAUAGAAAAGUGAAAAAGAUGACUUUAAAAGAAUUGGUGAAAGUGUUUUUUUCUUUUCUGUGGAUGCUAUUCAUAGGGUUCUUCCAAAUGCUUUUCGCCAUAAUAUGGGGUAUUUUCCAGAUUCUUUGGAGCACUGUGUUUGGGGGUGGCCUAGUGGAAGGAGCCAAAAAUAUAAGAGUUACCAAAAUUUUAGGAGAUAUGCCUGAUCCAACCCAGUUUGGAAUCCACGAUGAUGUCCUAGAAUCAGAGAAAGCUGAAGUUACAGAACAUGGUAUUACGGCUGAAAUUGUUCAAUUUGUAAAAAAUGAAAAAGAAGAAAGUGACAUCUUGUCUGAUAUUUUUGGCAUUCAUACGAAUAAAGAAAGUGGAUCAAAACAUGGCCAUGACAUUGGCCUUGGGGAUAUUGCAGAUAUUAUUGGAUCCGAAACGCCUCCUUCUUUGGAAAGUGCAGUUCACAAGAAGAAAAAAGCACAGACAGGUGAAAUCGGAAGGGAUGAUGAAUCAGAAACAAGAACAGAAUCUGAGAAGGCUGACAUUGAGAAUGGUGAGAAACAAGAUAAAAUAAAGGAUGACGAAUACUCUGAACAUUUGGAAAUUGACGAAUCCAAGAAAAGAAAACGAAGACGUGGGCAAAAAAUAGAGAAGCCUGAUGCAGUUAUGGCUAAUUUUUUUAAAGUGCUGGAAGUGUAUCAGACAAAAAUGUUGCACUGUUUGGCCAGAAAUUUCUACAAUUUACGAUUUCUUGCACUUUUUGUUGCAUUUGCCAUCAACUUUAUUCUACUGUUCUACAAGGUGACAGAGGAGCCAUUUGAAGAGAUGGAAGAAGAUUCUGAUCUUUGGCAUGCUUUAGAUGAGGAUGAAGAUGAAGAUGGAGUGGUGUUCUAUGUCUUACAAGAGAGUACAGGCUAUAUGGCACCAACACUGAGAGCUCUAGCUGUUAUUCACACGAUCAUCUCUUUUGUAUGUGUUAUUGGAUAUUAUUGUUUAAAGGUUCCCCUUGUUGUUUUCAAACGAGAGAAGGACAUUGCAAGGAAACUAGAAUUUGAUGGUUUGUACAUUACUGAACAGCCCUCUGAAGAUGAUAUUAAAGGACAGUGGGAUCGGCUAGUCAUAAACACUCCGUCUUUUCCAAAUAAUUAUUGGGACAAAUUUGUAAAACGAAAGGUAAUCAACAAGUAUGGUGAUUUAUAUGGAGCAGAACGCAUUGCAGAACUUUUGGGUCUGGAUAAAAACGCUUUGGAUUUCAGUCCUGUAGAACAUACUGAACUAGAGGAAGCAUCUCUUAUUUCAUGGUUAAGUUCUGUUGAUGCCAAGUAUCGUAUCUGGAAACUUGGUGUAGUUUUCACUGAUAAUUCCUUCUUGUACUUAGCGUGGUACACAACUAUGUCUAUCCUUGGUCACUACAACAACUUCUUCUUUGCUGCUCACUUGCUUGAUAUUGCUAUGGGCUUUAAGACACUACGUACCAUCCUGUCUUCUGUAACCCACAAUGGUAAACAGCUCGUGUUGACUGUUGGACUCUUGGCUGUAGUGGUGUACCUAUAUACAGUUGUUGCAUUCAACUUCUUCCGCAAAUUUUAUAACAAGAGUGAAGAUGAAGAUGAGCCAGACAUGAAAUGCGAUGAUAUGAUGACAUGUUACCUGUUCCAUAUGUAUGUGGGUGUAAGAGCAGGCGGAGGCAUCGGAGAUGAAAUUGAAGACCCUGCAGGAGAUCCAUACGAAAUGUAUAGAAUUGUUUUUGAUAUCACAUUUUUCUUUUUUGUUAUUGUCAUCCUACUGGCCAUCAUUCAAGAACUGAAGGAGAGCAACUUGGAUGCAUCAAGUGUACAUGAUGGAAAGAGUGAGGUUCCUAAUUUAUAUGAUUUCACAAAUAACCACUCAACGAAUCAGUUACAGGUCUGAUUAUUGAUGCCUUUGGCGAAUUAAGAGACCAGCAAGAGCAAGUUAAAGAAGACAUGGAGACCAAAUGCUUUAUUUGUGGAAUUGGUAAUGACUAUUUUGACACAACUCCCCAUGGAUUUGAAAUGCAUACUUUACAAGAGCACAAC